rnacentral:sRNA from 1 species
GGGUAAAAUUGAACUGUGUGCCAGGUUUCACACUGAUGGGGAAUUUUUUACUGCAGAGUUAAACUCCUGACUAUAGACUUUUAUGAUGGAAACACGUGGCACCCAUCUUCCACGUCUGAAGGCAUAACUAGUGAUUCAUUCAACCCCUGUUCUUAACCUCUUCAGUGUGGUCUGUCAGCUGCUGCUGGAAUUGGUGUUGAUGACCUUCGUCGCUUAUGCAUACUCAGGAUGAGUUUUGUGAAAGGCUGGGGACCGGAUUACCCAAGACAGAGCAUCAAAGAAACACCUUGCUGGAUUGAAAUUCACUUACACCGGGCCCUCCAGCUCCUAGACGAAGUACUUCAUACCAUGCCGAUUGCAGACCCACAACCUUUAGACUGAGGUCUUUUACCGUUGGGGCCCUUAACCUUAUCAGGAUGGUGGACUACAAAAUACAAUCCUGUUUAUAAUCUGAAGAUAUAUUUCACUUUUGUUCUGCUUUAUCUUUUCAUAAAGGGUUGAAAAUGUGUUUGCUGCCUUGCUCCUAGCAGACAGAAACUGGAUUAAAACAAUUUUUUUUUUUUCCUCUUCAGAACUUUUCAGGCAUGGCUCAGAGCUUGAAGAUUAGGAGAAACACAUUAAUUCUUCACCUGUUAUGUAUGAAGGAAUCAUUCCAGUGCUAGAAAAUUUAGCCCUUUAAAACGUCUUAGAGCCUUUUAUCUGCAGAACAUCGAUAUGUAUAUCAUUCUACAGAAUAAAUCCAGUAUUGCUGAUUUUAAAGGCAGAGAAGUUCUCAAAGUUA